GUGCCAGCAGCCGCGGUAAUACGGGGGGGGCAAGCGUUGUUCGGAAUUACUGGGCGUAAAGGGCUCGUAGGCGGCCGUUUUAGUCCGACGUGAAAUCCCACGGCUCAACCGUGGAACUGCGUCGGAUACUGAAUGGCUUGAAUCCAAGAGAGGGAUGCGGAAUUCCAGGUGUAGCGGUGAAAUGCGUAGAUAUCUGGAGGAACACCGGUGGCGAAGGCGGCAUCCUGGAUUGGUAUUGACGCUGAGGAGCGAAAGCCAGGGGAGCAAACGGGAUUAGAAACCCCCGUAGUCC
rnacentral:rRNA from 1 species